AGCACUGCAUUGAAUUGCCUUGUUGAGUGCUAUUGUGUACCUUGAUGUGUUUUCACAGAGCUCCAAGCCCACUUUGAGCCUGCUUCUGAGACUGAAGGGGUAGACAAGGACACAGAAAUGGAAAGGGACUAUCCCCUGGUAGACCUCCUCAGCCAAGAAGUACAUGUGACACCCAGAGGCACCAGACAUGGCUCAGUGGCUAUCCAGGAGGGCCAGCCCCACCAGCAGGACCCAAGUCUCCAACUGAGCAAGCUCAGGCAAGAGACCAACAGACUUUGGGAACACUUAGUUCAAAAAGAGAGAGAGUACCAGAAUCUUCUUCGGUUAAUUCUAGAACAAAAAACUCAAGAAUUAUAUCACCUUCAGUUACAAUACAAAUGCAAUGGUAAGUCACUUUACAUUUGCUCCAACAUAGGUGUCAAAGAGGGACAAACUACUAAAAAUCUGACUUCUGCCUUGAAGACAUAAAUGGUUGACGUUACCAUAUACUACAGGAACAGAAAUCCUAAUGGGUAGGGGCAGAGCUCAGAAGAAAGGACAGGGUAACAAAAGUGUGUUUUGACCUUGAUAGUCAUUCCACAACUUUGAAUCAAAAAGGAUGCCUACAUUAGACUGCCUCUCAGAUCUGCCCCUUCUUGGUAAUGAAGAACCAGAAGCUCUGCCACACAAUCUUAACACACACUUCUUGGAGUUCCAGUGUAGCUAGGAAUCUCCAGCCUGAGAUAAGACACCUUAAAGAUGAGAACAUGCAUUCAAGUGAGACUGAUAAUACCUCAAGGUCCAAACCUACUAAAAGAAUCUUCCGUAGUGAUGACUGCUCUCCGGAAAUGGAAGCCAAGAAUUGUAAAAGUAUCGGGUCAAACAAGUUUAAUUCAUUUCCUUUUCACAGCACAUUUACAUUUCUGUUUGGAUACAUGAUUACAUCCACUUUGUUAUUUUUGAAGCAUUUUAUGGUUAUACAUUACUAUACAAUAAAACAAAAUUGGAAUCUUUAUAGGUGGAACAGAGAACCCACCACCCCAUGACGGACUGGGAACCAACAGAGAGCUUAUAGACUGGUUGCAGCUACAAGGAGUGGAUGCAAAUACAAUAGAAAAGGUAAAUUUCUAAAUCAAAGGAUUCCUAUGAUACUGUUGAAAAGCUGCUUAUGUUGUUGAAUGUAUGUUGAAUCUUUCAGAUUGUUGAAGAAGAUUACACACUUUCUGAUAUUCUCAAUGAUAUCACUAAGGAAGACCUAAGGUGCCUCAGACUACGGUAAGAGAGCCUGCAAACAAUUUAAAUAAUAAAAUGGGGCUUUUUUAUGUGAAUACUUUUAUUUUUAAUGCUGGUAGUUUCCCCAAUCUUUGAAAUUUAUCUUUCCUAUGUUGUAGCAAGCACAGCUCAUUUUCUCAGGGUGGCAAGGCAUGAGGUGCCUUUCUUUACAUUGUUUAAAUGCCCACAUCUACCCAGAUCACCCAGUGUUCCUAUGGUACCAUGUCCAGAAAAAGGUGACAUACUUUUAAGUUAGAGAUUACAUUUGAAGAGUAGAUGGGUGGCUUCAAGUUUGCUUUUCUUAUGAAAAUUAUUGUUUUGCAGUGGUGGUGUCCUCUGUAGGCUCUGGCAUGCAGUGUCCCAGCACAGAAGACAAAUGCAGGAGUCCUCACAAUAAGCCAAGCUGGG